UGCCAAGUGGAAUGGUUGAGGCAAUGUCAGAGGGAGGCUGUCAGCCUGAUGGGAGUGGAUGGAGGCAUGAACUGUGAAAAGAACCAGCCGAAGGAGCCUGGUCUUCCAGGAAAGCACAGUUUCAGAUGCUCCUGACUUCUGAGGAUGAUGAGAGCAGUUAAGCAAAGAAAAGAACUUAAGCCAUGGGGUGAUAAGGAAGAAAGAAGAGAAAAAAAUUCAGGAUGUGUAAUGUGUGGCACGGCCCAUGGGUAGAUGUCAUUGUCCUCGGAGGAACCCAUCCUCCAGGAGAGAGAAGAGACAAGGAAGGGACAAGCAAUGGGAUUAUAUGCAUGCAGCACACGCAGAAUAACAUUGUUAAAAUGAGCAUCAGCUCAGAAAGCCAUGUGUCAUCCAGGGAUCUUCAGACUAGAAAGGUGAUGGGGCCUCACGAGAGAAUGUGGAGAAACCCUGUCUAAGAGGCCAUGGGUUCUAGUCCUGACCCUACCAGGAACUUGCUGUGCGACCUGUAAGUGGAACCAUCUUUCUGGUUUUCUGUUUUAUCACCUGAAAAAGACAACUCUCCCAUGAGAUCGUUUCUUUGAAAACAUAAAUGUACUAGCAGGAACAGGUUCAGAUUUUGAGAGACUGGAAGUUGCAACACUUGGGGGCCUCUCUUUAAGGAAAAAAAAA
ensembl:lncRNA